GACGAACGCUGGCGGCGUGCUUAACACAUGCAAGUCGAACGGAAAGGCCCUGCUUUUGUGGGGUGCUCGAGUGGCGAACGGGUGAGUAACACGUGAGUAACCUGCCCUUGACUUUGGGAUAACUUCAGGAAACUGGGGCUAAUACCGGAUAGGAGCUCCUGCUGCAUGGUGGGGGUUGGAAAGUUUCGGCGGUGGGGGAUGGACUCGCGGCUUAUCAGCUUGUUGGUGGGGUAGUGGCUUACCAAGGCUUUGACGGGUAGCCGGCCUGAGAGGGUGACCGGCCACAUUGGGACUGAGAUACGGCCCAGACUCCUACGGGAGGCAGCAGUGGGGAAUAUUGCACAAUGGGCGGAAGCCUGAUGCAGCAACGCCGCGUGCGGGAUGACGGCCUUCGGGCUGUAAACCGCUUUCGCCUGUGACGAAGCGUGAGUGACGGUAAUGGGUAAAGAAGCACCGGCUAACUACGUG
rnacentral:rRNA from 1 species